AUGUAGGGCAAUCUGUCUUUAAGUAGGGGUAAAUUAGUCUUAAAAAAAAAAAAAGAAUCCUAGAUAGUUUUCCCUUCAAGUCAAGCAUCUCUGG
rnacentral:pre_miRNA from 1 species